rnacentral:rRNA from 1 species
UACGAGAGGCCCAAACGUUAUUCGGAAUUACUGGGCUUAAAGAGUCCGUAGGCGGCGCAGAAAGUAGGGUGUGAAAGCCCUCGGCUCAACCGAGGAAUUGCGCUCUAAACUACUGUGCUUGAGGAACCUAGAGGUGAGCGGAACUGAUGGUGGAGCGGUGAAAUGCGUUGAUAUCAUCAGGAACACCGGAGGCGAAGGCGGCUCACUGGGGGUUAUCUGACGCUGAGGAGCGAAAGCGUGGGGAGCGAACAGG